rnacentral:rRNA from 1 species
UGACCGCUGGCGGCGUGCCUACUACAUGCAAGUCGAGCGGACGGACGAGAAGCUUGCUUCUCUGAUGUUAGCGGCGGACGGGUGAGUAACACGUGGAUAACCUACCUAUAAGACUGGGAUAACUUCGGGAAACCGGAUCUAAUACCGGAUGAUAUUUUGAACCGCAUGGUUCAAAAGUGAAAGACGGUCUUGCUGUCACUUAUAGAUGGAUCCGCGCUGCAUUAGCUAGUUGGUAAGGUAACGGCUUACCAAGGCAACGAUGCAUAGCCGACCUGAGAGGGUGAUCGGCCACACUGGAACUGAGACACGGUCCAGACUCCUACGGGAGGCAGCAGUAGGGAAUCUUCCGCAAUGGGCGAAAGCCUGACGGAGCAACGCCGCGUGAGUGAUGAAGGUCUUCGGAUCGUAAAACUCUGUUAUUAGGGAAGAACAUAUGUGUAAGUAACUGUGCACAUCUUGACGGUACCUAAUCAGAAAGCCACGGCUAACUACGUG